rnacentral:rRNA from 1 species
UACAGAGAGUGCAAGCGUUAAUCGGAAUUACUGGGCGUAAAGCGUACGUAGGUCGAUGCUUAAGUCAGAUGUGAAAGCCCCGGGCUUAACUUGGGAAUUGCAUUUGAUACUGGGCGUCUAGAAUAUAGUAGAGGGAAGUGGAAUUUCUGGUGUAGCGGUGAAAUGCGUAGAUAUCAGAAGGAACAUCAGUGGCGAAAGCGGCUUCCUGGACUAAUAUUGACACUUAGGUACGAAAGCGUGGGGAGCAAACAGG